AAGUCGUAACAAGGUUUCCGUAGGUGAACCUGCGGAAGGAUCAUUAACACGUAUCCAACGUUAAAAACCCCGUGCAUUUUAACCCUGCUCUCCUCACCUCGACAAGCAAUCUCUGGUAAAUCACCACGAACAGUUUGAUUCAGAGACCUCUUCAAGACGUGUGGAUGGAGCGGUAGAGCAAAUAGACCUGGUUUCCGAAAGGAUAACUGAUACUUACUCAGAUCGUUGACCCUCACGGUCAGCGGACAGGUCUCUGGGGCUUCGGCUCCCCUUAUUAAACCCGUAUGUGAAAGUCGGGCUUGCAAACUACAGGCCCACAAAACGAACAACUGUUAACAAUGGAUAUCUUGGUUCUC
rnacentral:misc_RNA from 1 species